GUUUAAUGAUUUAUUUAAUUUUUUUUUUACAUGUAAAUUUUAGUGGGAAUAUAAAAUUAAUUUAAAUAAUUAUUUUUGAAAAUUUUAUUCGCAGUAUAAAGUUUUAUUAAUUUAAGAGAUUAAGAAUUAUAAAUAAAUUUAAAUAUUAACAAAAUUUGUGCCAGCAGUUGCGGUUAUACAAAAAAUAUAAAUAAAUUUGCUUAGUAAAUAAUUAAAUGAUUUUAAUUUAAUAAAAAUAAAAUUUAUAAAGUGAAAUUUAAAAUUUUAAAUAAUUAUUAUUAAAUUUAUUGACAUUAUGAAAUUUAUAAGUUAAACUAGGAUUAGAUACCCUAUUAUUAUAAAUGUUAAUUUUUAUUAAAGUAGUAUUAGUUAUGAUCUUGAAAUUUAAAAAUUUUGGCGGUAUUUUAGUCUAUUCAGAGGAACCUGUUCUAUAAUUGAUAGUCCACGAUAAAUUAUACUUUAUUUAUUAGUUUAUAUAUCGUCGUUAUUAAAUAUUUUAUAAGAAUUAUAAUGUUUAAGAUUUUUUAUUAGAAAAUAUAUCAGAUCAAGGUGUAGUUUAUAUUAAAGAAGAAAUGGGUUACAAUAAAUUUAUUUAUGGAUUUUUAUAUAAAAAUAUAUGAUGAAAUUGGAUUUGAUAGUAAUAAAUUUUAUAUUGGAUUUAUGAUUUUAGCUCUAAAAUGUGUACAUAUCGCCCGUCACUCUUAUUAUAAGGUAAGAUAAGUCGUAACAUAGUAGAUGUACUGGAAAGUGUAUCUAGAAUGAC
rnacentral:ncRNA from 1 species